UUUACUUCCGGUAGUAAGACAAGGACAACUCUGUGAACUUUCUUAGUGGCCAGUGAUUCAGGGCAAUGUGGUGGUCUGUCCUGCCUUCCUCUCUCCUUACGGUGGGAUUUCUGUGUAUGCCUGGAAUUUUGUCAGACAGAUUUUUCCGAUUUGUUCGUUAUAAUGACAAGAAUAUAAAUAGGGAUACCUAUGAUUCAAUGGACUUUCAGUUGAGCCACAGGGAUUACUUCAUAAUGGGGAGCAGAUACGUUCGGAGGGGAUUGGAUUGGAUCCCAGAAGUUGAUUAAAGAGAAAUGUAUACGAUGAUAGACUUUUUGUACCCUGAUAUUUAAAUAAAUGUUAAAAUCCACUGAA